rnacentral:rRNA from 1 species
GGUCUCAGUUCAGAUUGCAGGCUGCAACUCGCCUGCAUGAAGUUGGAAUUGCUAGUAAUCGCGAAUCAGAAUGUCGCGGUGAAUACGUUCCCGGGCCUUGUACACACCGCCCGUCACACCAUAAGAGUCGAUAACACCCGAAGCCUGUGAGCUAACCUUUUAGGAGGCAGCAGUCGAAGGUAGGGUUGAUGAUUGGGGUGAAGUCGUAACAAGGUAGC